UACGAAGGGGGGCUAGCGUUGUUCGGAUUUACUGGGCGUAAAGCGCACGUAGGCGGAUUGUUAAGUCAGAGGUGAAAGCCCGGGGCUCAACUCCGGAACUGCCUUUAAGACUGCAUCGCUAGAAUUGUGGAGAGGUGAGUGGAAUUCCGAGUGUAGAGGUGAAAUUCGUAGAUAUUCGGAAGAACACCAGUGGCGAAGGCGACUCACUGGACACAUAUUGACGCUGAGGUGCGAAAGCGUGGGGAGCAAACAGG
rnacentral:rRNA from 1 species